UGGAAAAUGUGUGGGGGUGACACUAUGGCAUGUCACGCCACACCACCACACUUUGGAAUGUCACGUCACACCACCACACUCUGGCAUGUAACGUCACACCACCAGACUCUGGCAUGUCACGUCACACCACCAGACUCUGCCAUGUCACGUCACACCACCAGACUCUGCCAUGUCACGCCACACCACCACACUCUGCCAUGUCACGUCACACCACCACACUCUGGGUCACACCAUCAUGCUCCGGCAUGUCACGUCACACAACCACACUCUUGCAUGUCACAUCACACCAGCACACUCUGUCAUGUCACGUCACACGACCACACUCUGCCAUGUCACGUCACACCAGCACACUCUGGCAUGUCACAUCACACCACCAUACUCUGCCAUGUCACGCCACCCACUAAACUCUGCAAUGACACGUCACAACAACACACCCUUGUAUGUCACGUCGCAUCACCACACUCUGGCAUGUCACGCCACACCACCACACUCUGCCAUGUCACGUCACACCACCACACUCUGGGUCACACCAGCAUGCUCCGGCAUGUCACGUCACACAACCACACUCUUGCAUGUCACAUCACACCAGCACACUCUGUCAUGUCACGUCACACGACCACACUCUGCCAUGUCACGUCACACCAGCACACUCUGGCAUGUCACACCAGCACACUCUGGCAUGUCAAGUCACACCACCACACUCUGCUUUGUCAGGUCACACCAGCACACUCUGGCAUGUCACGUCACACCACCACACUCUGCCAUGUCACAUCACACCACCACACUCUGCCAUAUCACGUCACACCAACACAGUCUGGCAUGUCAAGUCACACCACCACAGUCUGGCAUGUCACGUCAUACCACCACACUCUGCCAUGUCACGUCACACCACCACACUCUGCUUUGUCAUGUCACACCACCACACUCUGGCAUUUCAUGUCACACCACCACACUCUGGCAUGUCACGUCAUACCACCACACUCUGCCAUGUCACGUCACACCACCACACUCUGCCAUGUCACGUCACACCACCACACUCUGGCAUAUCACGUCACACCAACACACUCUGGCAUGUGACUUUAGACCAGCACACUCUGGCAUGUCACGUCACACCACCGCACUCUGGCAUGUCACGUCACACCACCGCAAUCUUCCAUGUCAUGCCACCCACCAAACUCUGCAAUGAUACGUCACAACAACACACCCUUGCAUGUCACGUCGCAUCACCCCACUCUGGCAUGUCACGUCAUACCACCACACCCUUGCAUGCCACGUCACAACACCACACCCUGGCAUGUCACGUCACACAACCACACCCUGGCAUGUCACGUCACACCACCACACUCUGGGUCACUCCACCACACUCUGGCAUUGUCACGUUACACCAGCACACUCUGACAUGUCAAGUCACACCACCACACUCUGCUAUGUCACGUCACACCAGCACACUCUGGCAUGUCAGGUCACACCACCAUACUCUGGCAUGUCACCUCACACUCUGGCAUGUCAUGUCACUCUGGCAUGUCACACAAGUACACUCUGGCAUGUCAUGUCACACCACCACACCUUACUCUGGCUUGUCACAUUACACCACCACUCUCUGGCCUGUCACUUCACACCAUCAAACUCUGCAAUGUCACCUCAAACCAUCAAACUCAGCCGUGUCACUUCACAACACGACACUCUGGGUCACACCACCACACUUUGGCAUGUCACGUCAUACCACCACACUCUGCCAUGUCACGUCACACCACCACACUCUGCCAUGUCACAUCACACCACUACACUCUGCCAUGUCACAUUACACCGCACACUCUGACAUGUCAAGACACACCACCACACUCUGCCAUGUCACGUCACACUAGCACACUCUGUCAUGUCACGUCACAGCACCACACUCUGCCAUGUCACAUCACACCAGCACACUCUGGCAUAUCACAUCACGCUAACAUACUUUGCAAUGACAUGUCACACCAGCACACUUUGGCAUGUCACGCCACCCACCAAAGUCUGCAACGACACGUCAGAAAAACCACACCCUUGCAUGUGACGUCGCACCACCACACUCUGGCAUGUCACGUCACACCACCACACUCUGCCAUGUCACGUCACACCAACACACUCUGGCAUGUCACGUCACACCAGCACACUCUGGCAUGUGACGUUAGACCACCGCACUCUGGCAUGUCACGUCACACCACAGCACUCUGGCAUGUCACAUCACACCACCGCAGUCUUACAUGUAAUGCCACCCACCAAACUCUGCAAUGACACGUCAUAACAACACACCCUUGCAUAUCACGUCACAUCACCACACUCUGGCAUGUCACGUCACACCACCACACCCUGCCAUGUCGCGUCACACCAGCACACUCUGGCAUGUCUCAUCACACCGUACACUUUGACAUUUCAAGCCACACCAGCACACUCUGGCAUGUAACGUCACACCACCGCACUCUGGCAUGUCACGUCACAC
ensembl:lncRNA